rnacentral:rRNA from 1 species
GAAAGAUUCAUCGGAAGAGGAUGGGCAUGCGGCGCAUUAGCUAGACGGCGGGGUAGCGGCCCACCGUGGCGACGAUGCGUAGGGGUUCUGAGAGGAAGGUCCCCCACACUGGUACUGAGACACGGACCAGACUCCUACGGGAGGCAGCAGUGAGGAAUAUUGGUCAAUGGGAGAGAUCCUGAACCAGCCAAGCCGCGUGAGGGAAGACGGCCCUAUGGGUUGUAAACCUCUUUUGUCGGAGAACAAAACCCGGGACGUGUCCCGGACUGCGUGUAUCCGAAGAAAAAGCAUCGGCUAACUCCGUGCCAGCAGCCGCGGUAAUACGGAGGAUGCGAGCGUUAUCCGGAUUUAUUGGGUUUAAAGGGUGCGUAGGCGGUCCGUUAAGUCAGCGGUAAAAUUGCGGGGCUCAACCCCGUCGAGCCGUUGAAACUGGCAGACUUGAGUUGGCGAGAAGUACGCGGAAUGCGCGGUGUAGCGGUGAAAUGCAUAGAUAUCGCGCAGAACUCCGAUUGCGAAGGCAGCGUACCGGCGCCAGACUGACGCUGGGGCACGAAAGCGUGGGGAUCGAACAGGAUUAGAUACCCUGGUAGUCCACGCAGUAAACGAUGAAUGCUGGUUGUCCGGGUCGAAUGAGAUCUGG